rnacentral:rRNA from 1 species
AGUGAACGCUGGCGGUAGGCCUAACACAUGCAAGUCGAACGGCAGCACAGUAAGAGCUUGCUCUUACGGGUGGCGAGUGGCGGACGGGUGAGGAAUACAUCGGAAUCUACUUUUUCGUGGGGGAUAACGUAGGGAAACUUACGCUAAUACCGCAUACGACCUACGGGUGAAAGCAGGGGAUCUUCGGACCUUGCGCGAUUGAAUGAGCCGAUGUCGGAUUAGCUAGUUGGCGGGGUAAAGGCCCACCAAGGCGACGAUCCGUAGCUGGUCUGAGAGGAUGAUCAGCCACACUGGAAGUGAGACACGGUCCAGACUCCUACGGGAGGCAGCAGUGGGGAAUGUUGGGCAAUGGGCGCAAGCCUGAUCCAGCCAUACCGCGUGGGUGAAGAAGGCCUUCGGGUUGUAAAGCCCUUUUGUUGGGAAAGAAAAGCAGCAGGUUAAUACCCCGCUGUUCUGACGGUACCCAAAGAAUAAGCACCGGCUAACUUCGUG